UACGAAGGGGGGCUAGCGUUGCUCGGAAUCAUUGGGCGUAAAGCGCACGUAGGCGGCUUUUUAAGUCAGGGGUGAAAUCCUGGAGCUCAACUCCAGAACUGCCUUUGAUACUGAGAAGCUUGAGUCCGGGAGAGGUGAGUGGAACUGCGAGUGUAGAGGUGAAAUUCAUAGAUAUUCGCAAGAACACCAGUGGCGAAGGCGGCUCACUGGCCCGGUACUGACGCUGAGGUGCGAAAGCGUGGGGAGCAAACAGG
rnacentral:rRNA from 1 species